rnacentral:rRNA from 1 species
UACGUAGGGUGCAAGCGUUAAUCGGAAUUACUGGGCGUAAAGCGUGCGCAGGCGGUUUUGUAAGUCAGAUGUGAAAUCCCCGGGCUCAACCUGGGAACUGCAUCUGUGACUGCAUCGCUGGAGUACGGUAGAGGGGGAUGGAAUUCCGCGUGUAGCAGUGAAAUGCGUAGAUAUGCGGAGGAACACCGAUGGCGAAGGCAAUCCCCUGGACCUGUACUGACGCUCAUGCACGAAAGCGUGGGGAGCAAACAGG